UGGGGAAUAUUGGACAAUGGGCGCAAGCCUGAUCCAGCCAUACCGCGUGGGUGAAGAAGGCCUUCGGGUUGUAAAGCCCUUUUGUUGGGAAAGAAAAGCAGCCGGUUAAUACCCGGUUGUUCUGACGGUACCCAAAGAAUAAGCACCGGCUAACUUCGUGCCAGCAGCCGCGGUAAUACGAAGGGUGCAAGCGUUACUCGGAAUUACUGGGCGUAAAGCGUGCGUAGGUGGUUGUUUAAGUCUGUCGUGAAAGCCCUGGGCUCAACCUGGGAAUUGCGAUGGAAACUGGGCGACUAUAGUGUGGCAGAGGGUAGUGGAAUUCCUGGUGUAGCAGUGAAAUGCGUAGAGAUCAGGAGGAACAUCCGUGGCGAAGGCGACUGCCUGGGCCAACACUGACACUGAGGCACGAAAGCGUGGGUAGCAAACAGG
rnacentral:rRNA from 1 species